UGCGUAGGCGGCCCGUUAAGUCAGGGGUGAAAUCCCGCGGCUCAACUGCGGAACUGCCCUUGAUACUGGGGGGCUCGGAUCGGCGCGAGGCGGGCGGAACGUGGCAUGUAGCGGUGAAAUGCUUAGAUAUGCCACAGAACACCGAUUGCGUAGGCAGCUUGCCAGAGCCGUAUCGACGCUGAGGCACGAAAGCGUGGGGAGCGAACAGGAUUAGAUACCCUGGUAGUCC
rnacentral:rRNA from 1 species